UGGAGCGGAGGGGAAACACCCGGUCCCAUCCCGAACCCGGCCGUUAAGCCCUCCAGCGCCGAUGGUACUGCCCUGGCAACGGGGCGGGAGAGUAGGUCACUGCCAAGG
rnacentral:rRNA from 1 species